rnacentral:lncRNA from 1 species
UAGCCCUGCCCUCCCGAUCCCUCCCCGGAUUCGUCCUCGGUUGCUCCCUCUUCUCCGACCGCCAGCCCCCCACCGGCCUCGCCGCCUUCGGCCGCGGCGCCCCCUCCUUCCCGGCGCAGCUGGGGCUCAACCGCUUCUCCUACUGCCUCCUCUCCCGCCGCUUCGACGACGACGCCGACGUCAGCGGAUCCCUCAUCCUCGGCGGCGGCGGCGGCGGCGGCGGCGACGGCGAUGAGGGCCUCAGCUUCGUCCCGUUCCUCCGCGGCGCCCCCUCCUUCCCGGCGCAGCUGGGGCUCAACCGCUUCUCCUACUGCCUCCUCUCCCGCCGCUUCGACGACGACGCCGCCGUCAGCGGAUCCCUCAUCCUCGGCGGCGGCGGCGACGGCGACGGCGACGGCAAU